CAAAGGGAUGCGAAGUGGCGACAUGGAGCGAAUCCCAAAAACAAUGCCCCAGUUCGGAUUGUAGUCUGCAACCCGACUACAUGAAGCCGGAAUCGCUAGUAAUCGCGGAUCAGAAUGCCGCGGUGAAUACGUUCCCGGGUCUUGUACACACCGCCCGUCACACCAUGGGAGUCGGGAAUGCCCGAAGUCAGUGACCCAACCCAAGGGAGGGAGCUGCCGAAGGCAGGCCUGGUGACUGGGGUGAAGUCGUAACAAGGUAGC
rnacentral:rRNA from 1 species